rnacentral:ncRNA from 1 species
AAAGCUGAAUUAGUGUUCGGCUUGAUGCGUAUUUUAAUACUCUUAACUCAUAUAUAUGAGGGCAGGGUCAACACACUAAGGAUAAAUUAUGUCUUUAAAUGCUAUAGAAAAAGCUGCAAUCGUUGCAGAAUAUGCUCAAUC